AGCGAACGCUGGCGGCAGGCCUAACACAUGCAAGUCGAACGGAUCCUUCGGGAUUAGUGGCGGACGGGUGAGUAACACGUGGGAACGUGCCCUUUGGUUCGGAACAACUCAGGGAAACUUGAGCUAAUACCGGAUGUGCCCUUCGGGGGAAAGAUUUAUCGCCAUUGGAGCGGCCCGCGUCUGAUUAGCUAGUUGGUGAGGUAACGGCCCACCAAGGCGACGAUCAGUAGCUGGUCUGAGAGGAUGAUCAGCCACACUGGGACUGAGACACGGCCCAGACUCCUACGGGAGGCAGCAGUGGGGAAUCUUGCGCAAUGGGCGAAAGCAUGACGCAGCCAUGCCGCGUGAAUGAUGAAGGUCUUAGGAUUGUAAAAUUCUUUCAGCGGGGACGAUAAUGACGGUACCCGCAGAAGAAGCUCCGGCUAACUUCGUG
rnacentral:rRNA from 1 species